UCAAGGCUGGGGAUACCAUUUGGAAACAGAUGCUAAUCCCGAAUAAAAAUUAGUGUCGCAUGACACAAAGUUAAAAGGCGCUUCGGCGUCACCUAGAGAUGGAUCCGCGGUGCAUUAGUUAGUUGGUGGGGUAAAGGCCUACCAAGACAAUGAUGCAUAGCCGAGUUGAGAGACUGAUCGGCCACAUUGGGACUGAGACACGGCCCAAACUCUACGGGAGGCUGCAGUAGGGAAUCUUCCACAAUGGGCGAAGGCCUGAUGGAGCAACGCCGCGUGUGUGAUGAAGGCUUUCGGGUCGUAAAGCACUGUUGUAUGGGAAGAACAGCUAGAAUAGGAAAUGAUUUUAGUUUGACGGUACCAUACCAGAAAGGGACGGCUAAAUACGUGCCAGCAGCCGCGGUAAUACGUAUGUCCCGAGCGUUAUCCGGAUUUAUUGGGCGUAAAGCGAGCGCAGACGGUUUAUUAAGUCUGAUGUGAAAGCCCGGAGCUCAACUCCGGAAUGGCAUUGGAAACUGGUUAACUUGAGUGCAGUAGAGGUAAGUGGAACUCCAUGUGUAGCGGUGGAAUGCGUAGAUAUAUGGAAGAACACCAGUGGCGAAGGCGGCUUAACUGGACUGCAACUGACGUUGAGGCUCGAAAGUGUGGGUAGCAAACAGGAUUAGAUACCCUGGUAGUCCACACCGUAAACGAUGAACACUAGGUGUUAGGAGGUUUCCGCCUCUUAGUGCCGAAGCUAACGCAUUAAGUGUUCCGCCUGGGGAGUACGACCGCAAGGUUGAAACUCAAAGGAAUUGACGGGGACCCGCACAAGCGGUGGAGCAUGUGGUUUAAUUCGAAGCAACGCGAAGAACCUUACCAGGUCUUGACAUCCUUUGAAGCUUUUAGAGAUAGAAGUGUUCUCUUCGGAGACAAAGUGACAGGUGGUGCAUGGUCGUCGUCAGCUCGUGUCGUGAGAUGUUGGGUUAAGUCCCGCAACGAGCGCAACCCUUAUUGUUAGUUGCCAGCAUUCAGAUGGGCACUCUAGCGAGACUGCCGGUGACAAACCGGAGGAAGGCGGGGACGACGUCAGAUCAUCAUGCCCCUUAUGACCUGGGCUACACACGUGCUACAAUGGCGUAUACAACGAGUUGCCAACCCGCGAGGUGGAGCUAAUCUCUUAAAGUACGUCUCAGUUCGGAUUGUAGUCUGCAACUCGACUACAUGAAGUCGGAAUCGCUAGUAAUCGCGGAUCAGCACGCCGCGGUGAAUACGUUCCCGGGUCUUGUACACACCGCCCGUCACACCAAGGGAGUUUGUAAUGCCCAAAGCCGGUGGCCUAACCUUUUAGGAAGGAGCCGUCUAAGGCAGGACAGAUGACUGGGGUG
rnacentral:rRNA from 1 species